rnacentral:rRNA from 1 species
UGCGUAGGCGGAAUGAUAAGUUAGUGGUGAAAGCCCCCGGCUCAACCGGGGAACUGCCAUUAAUACUGUCAUUCUUGAGUAUAGUUGAAGUGGGCGGAAUGUAUCAUGUAGCGGUGAAAUGCUUAGAUAUGAUACAGAACACCGAUAGCGUAGGCAGCUUGCUAAACUAUAACUGACGCUCAGGCACGAAAGCGUGGGGAGCAAACAGGACUAGAUACCCUGGUAGUCC